ACUCACUCACUGCCCUAUUUUGUCCCUGUAUUCGAAAGUGAUCGUGGGCUGCCUUUGCCCUGGUCAUUGAUAGUGCAGGGAGAGGAAUCAAUGAAAGCGCUUCCCCGUGUUUGAAGGGUCCACUCCUAUCCCUUCCAAACUCUGGAGCUUUCGUACAUGCCUUUAUUCUCACCAGUGAUGUUACCUCCUGGUACCUGGUUGUCGUGCCAGACCCCUGUUUACCUCAUUAGGGAUGGCACCAGGUUCAACAGGCCGGAGAAGAGACCUGGAGC
ensembl:snoRNA SNORA71B small nucleolar RNA, H/ACA box 71B